AAUCGUAGUCCUCAGACCAACGUUGUGGGAGGUACACCGUAAAUGUGGGCAGUACGAAAUCUUCCCAAAAAUACGGUACCUUUAUUUCAUUCAUUUGGUCUUCAGGGGUGAUAAUUUAAUGUUUAAAAAUCUGCCCACAAUUCGCCAGCUUGGGUUGUGGGAAGAAAAAUAAUAUUUGGCUUGCCUCCCUUGAUAUAUUUUCUGAUUAAAAUUUUCAAUCGAGCAAUUUGGUCACCGAUAUCCCGAAGCCUGCCUACGGAGAUGGCCGAGUUGUCACGAUCGUUCCUCGUUGCCCAAUUGAAACUUCCCGGCUUGACUCGGAAUAGGGUCGGCCAUUUUGAUAAUAUUUAUGGAGUAGCAGAACAGAAUUUGAGAUGACUUUGCCUGGAAGGAAAGCAUCACAAAAAGAUAUUGCCCUUCACUGGGGUGGGAAAAAAGAUCCAAAAGGCUUUGCAAUAAAAAUUUAUGGUUUUAAAGAUGAGCAACCAGCAGACGCAGAAUCCUCCAACUGGUAUACUAUCAAGUGAAGUGACUCAGACUUACCCUGCAGACCAACUAGCAGAAGCAGUAUCCUCCAAAAUGGUAUACUAUAGAGUGAAGCGCCCAGACUUACCCUGCAGGGCAACAAGCAGAAUCAGUAUCCUCCAAACCUGUAUAUGAUUGAGUGAAGUGACCCAGACCUACCCCGCAGAGCAACCAGCAGAAGCAGAAUCCUCCAAAAUGGUAUACGAUGGAGUGAAGCGAUCCAGAAUUACCCAGUCCCCAAAGAUGAUGAUGGCAAUAACUCGAUAAGAGAUCCAACUUUGAUGGAAACUGUUAUAGGGGAGAGACCAGCAUAGAUGGUAAACCAAUAUCAAAGGAUUCUACACAAUAAAAGAAACAAAGGUGGUCUGAAGAAGAAAACAAGAUCUUCAUACCAAUCUUUAAAGCAUGUCUAACGGACAAACACAUAACCAACUCUUACCGCAUAAGGCUUGCAGCUGAGAAAAUACCUGAAAGGACAAUAGCUCAAAUAAAGAAGAGAGUUCACAACAGGCAAACAAGCUUGGUCAUUGAAAUUGUGUUAAAGGUUUGGUCUCCAGGCUACUUAGUUGAGAUGUCUAGGGUCAUCAACACCUUUUUUCUUUUAAAGGGACUGUACACCAUAUUGGCACCAAUUUUCGUAACGAAUCUCAGGACAAUUAUCUAAUAGAAUGUGUUACCCUUUGAUGCCAUAAUUGUAAAAAAAAAACACCAAAAUGUAAAAAAAAAAAUGUGUAGGAGACCGGGUUCAAACAAGUGUCGCCAAAAUUGAAGUCCAGCGUCGUAUUCACUGAGCUUCGAUGGCUUUUUUUAAUCAGGUGACAUAAGUAAGCUAAACAAUUAACUCUGUAAUAUCAGGUGAUAACACCGACUAGCCAAUCAAGCAUAAGGAAUGAAUUUUACUAGGUAGAUAUACCCAGUAAUCUUUUUUAAUGGAAAAAUACCUAAUAACUGCUAAACUUGAAUAAAUUGUAAACUAUGUAGUACUUCAGUUAGUAAGUUUCAAUACAUUGUACACAUUAAUACCAAAUUUGUGACAGUCUUCGACAAUAAUUAUUGUCUUUUUUUCUUGCAAAUUGAUGAUCUGGUGCACAGUUGCUUUGAAGAACCAUCAGUGUGAAUAGGACUGCUUCGAAAUUGAACAUGAAUUGUUCAUUAAGCUUCUGUGUUAUAAACAUGAUCUAAAGACAUUUAAUAUUUUAAUGCCCCCACUUAUCAGGAUAAUGGAUUACCUGUGAAUAGACUUAGUUUGGUUGGAAAUUAUUAAGAGCUGCUGUGAUCAUUUCCUGAGAUCACAUGAGGCAAGUGGGGGCAUCCGGGUCAUAUCGACACAAUUCUAGUCACUUUCACAAGAUGUUUUACUUAAAGCUGCACUCUUACAGAUAUAAUGUUUUUUACAACUUUUUUUAUUUUUUGUCUUGGAAUGAGUUGUUUUUUUGCGUAAAUACAAUGUAUCUGCAAACCAGCAUUAAAAGACUGAUGACAAAAGAUGAGUUUGCAGGUUUUCAUAUUUUAUCUCCAAAACUGAUGUUUUAUGCAUUUUUUAAACCAUUAGUACAUGCUGAAUAUGCUUGUUGUAAAUGUUACUUCUACAGUUUAAAAGGAUUUUGUUGAAAAUUGCAUACCAGGGGUUAGUUGUCAGAUGUUUGUGCUUUUUGCUCCAUUUUUGAAAUUAUAUAAUUGCUUGAUUAUAAUCAGAAGUCUGUAAAUUCAUCAACAGAUGCCAGAAAAUCAAGAUUUCAAUUCUACUGGGCACCCUAGGUUCAGUGUGAAAUAGUUUUGUAAAAUACAUAUGGGUACUUACAAAAACUUUUAUUGAAUUUUGUACGUCAGACAACAUUUCCUCUUCUGUUGGAUAUAAGCAGAAAGAAAUGUUUGGGAAAUAUACCUGUUGAAUUGGAACUUUACCACCUAAGUGUACCUCAUCCUGAUCUCCUUAGGCUUAAGUUAAAUAAUUUCAUGCCAGUUUUUUUUUAAUUUUCUGAUUUAAAAAAAACCCAACUCAACUUUUGAAAAUAUCCUGAUGAAAGAACUACCCCACUACUAGUAGACAAUCAGUCAGUGUUGUAAGUAACGGUUUGAAUUUUCAUUCAGUCAUUUUUUUCAUAUAUAUGUACUUAUAUAAUAAGGAAAUCUUGUGAAAGCAACUUCUCAAGUUUAUGAAGAAUUUUGUUGAAGCUUGUCCACACUAUCAGUCAUUAUAUGUAUUUGAGCUGCAUUUUCUGUUGGACUCUUCGAUCAGGGGUUACAACCCUUUGUUAUUUGCUUUAUACAUUCUUGUGUAUGCAACCCUUCCCACUUUGUUUAAACAUGCUUAUAUUCUUAAACAUGCUUAUUAGACUUUGAACAGAACAUGGCAUGUGCAUCAGGGAACAGAUUCCCGAUUCUGAUUUUAUAUUGAA